UGGGGAAUAUUGCACAAUGGGCGCAAGCCUGAUGCAGCCCUGCCGCGUGUAUGAAGAAGGCCUUCGGGUUGUAAAGUACUUUCAGCGAGGAGGAAGGCGGUAAGGUUAAUAACCUUAUCGAUUGACGUUACUCGCAGAAGAAGCACCGGCUAACUCCGUGCCAGCAGCCGCGGUAAUACGGAGGGUGCAAGCGUUAAUCGGAAUUACUGGGCGUAAAGCGCACGCAGGCGGUCUGUCAAGUCGGAUGUGAAAUCCCCGGGCUCAACCUGGGAACUGCAUUCGAAACUGGCAGGCUAGAGUCUUGUAGAGGGGGGUAGAAUUCCAGGUGUAGCGGUGAAAUGCGUAGAGAUCUGGAGGAAUACCGGUGGCGAAGGCGGCCCCCUGGACAAAGACUGACGCUCAGGUGCGAAAGCGUGGGGAGCAAACA
rnacentral:rRNA from 1 species